ACGUGACAUAUCUCUCGUUCACCACUCCUCUCGGUGAUUUGCGGCGCCGGCGGGGAAGACGGCGAGUGGCGCCGUGCGGGCCAACAGGAGCAGCAGGGAGGGCGGGCCAACGGCGGGGAUGCGGCGCGCGGCCCCUCGCGAGUAGCGGCCACCGGUGGGGAGGGCGGGUCCGCGCGAGCAGCAAUGAGGGGAGGGCGGUGAGCGACAGGUGCGCCGGUCGCCGCCGCGGUCGGAUCCGAGCAGGGCACGCGCACACCCCCAUCUCCCCACACCGCUUGCCGCCGUGCUAGGGCCCCUUCUCCGCGAUGUGGAAGCGAAGGUGACGGCAGUGGAGGAGGUGCUUCGCGCCAACACCCGCCGAGAUCUCCACCUCCUCCGCCUCUUACUGCCACACUCUGCCCCCUCUAAUCGCGAAGGCCUCAGGUACCCACCCCAUCUUCGCAUGUGCUCUGGUAAAUUUGUCUGCCUCAUGAAACUGUUCGAACGGAAUUCAUAGAUGUGGUGAUCAAUGUGAUAGAGCAGGCAUGUAUCAAUACUAGUUUGUUUCUUUGCUGAGGUCAUAAUAUCCCAUUUUUUCAGUCUCAUAGAUCUAAAGAACGCAAAUAUAAAUGAUGAUGUACUUCCAAUUACUCACUGAACUCAAGCUAUAAAUGAAGAAGUAAUAGAGAGCCGAAGAUUAAGGCGCUGGGGUUUGUGUUGCACAUUCAUGUAUAGGUUGUGCCGUUGUGGAAGGGGUUUCGGAAUUGUUCAUUUGUAGCUGCAUAGUUGUUAGGUUCUGCCCCAAGUUCAAUCUAAAUGUAUGCUUGUUUGAGCUCGGUUGCCUGAGGUAGUUAGUUGUAUCUUGUUUGGGUUCAAGAUGCACCUUGACAAGCCAGAUUGCUCAGUGUCAUGACUUAACUGAAAUGUCUGAUUCCAUUGAAUGGUGCAAAGAACUUGCUGAUUCUUUUGAAGUGCCUACACUCUCAGAACUGCACCGGCAACUGGUUGGCGAAGGUUCUCAUCGUCACGGCGUCACUUAGUCAAUGAUCUGGCGCCAGACUCUGAUGAGGCUUUACCUGCUCAUAGCUAUUAUUAAAGACUAGCUCCAUAGGCACUUGGUCCUUCUCAAACAAAGUUGGAUGCAAUUUCUAGAGAUUUGCUUGUUCUAUGUUACCUUAGAUCCCUCGCUCAGUGGCUUUUGAUCAUGUGGAUGCAUGUAAACACUAGAAGUAGGUUCCUUGUGGACGCUAGAUAAGCCGUACAGAGGUAGGUUUCUUGUAGAUGCUAGAUAUGCUGUCAGUAACUGUAAUCCCAUUGUUUAUUGGUUUUUGUAUUUCAGACAUCGGGCUUCUGAUGCAAGCAAUACAUGUUAGACUAAAAAAAAUCAAAGAAUUCUCAAACAUUUCUCUCGACAGAAUUUCAUCACAAAUAUGAUGCCAUAAUGGCAUUUGGCGGAGAACAGAAGCAUCUUUCAACUUCAGGCUAUGAUCAGAAAGGGAACAGACGAACAGUCAGCUCUAAACUACACCAAUCCUGUCUCUGCACCAAUCCUGUCACAGGAAGGUCUCAGCCUCACGGCGCCGACGAGGAGCAGGCGUGCCGGUGCCGGGGGCGGCGACGGAACUGGAUGCAAGCGCCCCGCGAGGCUACGGUGGCACGUGGAGGAGGCACCCUAGGACGGCGGCGGAGCGGGAUGCAGGCGGCCAGGCACUCUGGGGCAGCGCCGCAGUGGCCCUGGGGCGGCGGCUGGGCAGGGGCUGCACGGGAACCAAGCGCCCUGGGACGACGGCCGGUGAACCGCGCCUAGUAGGAACGAUCCAUGCGGGCUGCGGCCGGUGGGGUCGCGGGGAAGAUGCGCGGAAAACAGGACCGAUGCGGAAAAAAUAAUAACUGCGUAAUAAUUACUAAGUUACCCUUAGGUUAUCUAUACCACCUGUCGAAAGGGGCAGAAGGGAGGACAGCGCUAAGAAGGUCAACGUGCUGUGGGAUCAAGCGUCACCCGACUCGAAGCACCACCGGUUGAGCCUGCUACAUAUCAUAGGCUUUGCAGUGGAUGAGAAGCUGAUGAAAUACAUAAGGCUUGUUAUGGAGCUAGCCUCGGGCUUGAAGAGGAUCUGCUUGCUUGACCAACAGCCCUGCGCUAGGUGUGAUGCCAUGGACGAUACUCAGUCUCCAUCACGGAACAGAUGGAGAUUCCCGGUUGAGGAAGAGGAGAAGGAAGUAAUGAGGCAUCAGCUUGUAGAUGGCUUAUCCUCUUCUUCUGUUGAAAUAAGCAUCGGAUGACAUGGGUCUCCCAUCAUCCCAACAGAUAAUUGUAAUUCCAGCUCUAGCUUUUUCCUGGAGCACUGUUAUUAGAUCAUGGCUUGCAUUGUAAUCGUGUAGUAUAAUAGCAAAUAAUUGUUAUUUUCCAGGCAACCAUAACUUAUUGUGCUUAAUUGUUGAUUGCAAUGACA